rnacentral:rRNA from 1 species
CGGAGUUAGCCGGUGCUUAUUCCUUAGGUACCGUCACUAUCUUCCCUAAGAAAAGAGCUUUACGACCCAAAGGCCUUCUUCACUCGCGCGGUAUUGCUGCGUCAGGCUUUCGCCCAUUGCGCAAAAUUCCCCA